UACGGAGGGUGCAAGCGUUGUUCGGAAUUACUGGGCGUAAAGCGCACGUAGGCGGGUCUACAUGUCGAUUGUGAAAUCCCCGGGCUUAACCUGGGAAUUGCAGUCGAAACGGUAGAUCUUGAAUGCUUGAGAGGAUGGCGGAAUUCCUGGUGUAGUAGUGAAAUACGUAGAUAUCAGGAAGAACACCCGAGGCGAAGGCGGCUAUCUGGUGAUGCAUUGACGCUGAGGUGCGAAAGCGUGGGGAGCAAACAGG
rnacentral:rRNA from 1 species